CCUCAGGACCCACUGUCUGCAAAAUGGAAAUUCAGCGUGUUCGGCUAAAACAGGAAUAAGAUCAGCUCUGCAAGCCUUGGAAACGUAGCUUGAAACUGGGAAUUGUAAUCGAUAUUUAGAAGGGGAGAAUCUUGAGGAGGAUUGGACUUCCACAUCUGCAUCAGGUGGUCAGUCAGCUCACGCACUUUCAGAUGAGGAACUUCAUGAAAAGGCACAAUCAUUUAUAUUGCACGAUUUUCUAUAACCCGGCGUUCCAUGGGAACGCAACUACCGUGUUGUAGGAGAACUACCGUAAAUGAUCUGGAUUUCCAGGUUCCCUUUCAGGAGGAGAAAUUCUUCACAGCAGCAUACAAGUAACCUCCGGCUAGAUAUUAGACAAUUCACUAAUAGAAUAUUAUGGAGCUUAUCCUUGUUCGAAAACCACAAAAUCAAUCAAACUUUUUGGAAGGGACAGGAAUAUGG